rnacentral:rRNA from 1 species
CUCGGGUGACGAGUGGCGGACGGGUGAGUAAUGUCUGGGAAACUGCCUGAUGGAGGGGGAUAACUACUGGAAACGGUAGCUAAUACCGCAUAACGUCGCAAGACCAAAGAGGGGGACCUUCGGGCCUCUUGCCAUCAGAUGUGCCCAGAUGGGAUUAGCUAGUAGGUGGGGUAACGGCUCACCUAGGCGACGAUCCCUAGCUGGUCUGAGAGGAUGACCAGCCACACUGGAACUGAGACACGGUCCAGACUCCUACGGGAGGCAGCAGUGGGGAAUAUUGCACAAUGGGCGCAAGCCUGAUGCAGCCAUGCCGCGUGUAUGAAGAAGGCCUUCGGGUUGUAAAGUACUUUCAGCGGGGAGGAAGGUGUUGUGGUUAAUAACCACAGCAAUUGACGUUACCCGCAGAAGAAGCACCGGCUAACUCCGUGCCAGCAG